rnacentral:lncRNA from 1 species
CCUCAGUCUUCCUUUUCUGUUGUAGGCUCAUCAAAGCCAUCAUGUUGGAAGGACUCCAGGAGAUCACUGUCAGCCACCUCUGGAAUGUGCUGCAGGUUCCAAGAGGGUACUUCCAAAUGGUCUGUAUCUGAUACGUGAGCCACAGGUGACCAGCCAUCUCCGUCCUGCAGCCCUAAAAGGAUCAACUAAGUUUGAUGUGUAACUUUGGCUGAAACUACAGGUCCUUGCUGCUCCAGCUGCCUUUUGAGAUCUGAACUCAGCUUGCAUGGAUAUGGAGUCUUUUGCAAAAGUCAGCUUAGACUCUUUGCUGGGGAUAUUCCUUAACAUCUCAUGAUGAUAUGGUGUGAGAUGAUAAGGGCCUGCAUCAGGAUGGUGGCAGUGUCAGAAGGAAAGAUGUUUAUGAAAGUGAAAAUGACAGGACUUGACCAUUGAUCAGAUGGCAAGAGAAAAAGACAAUUUAUCACGUCUUGGGCAGUUUCCUCCUGACAGCCCUAUGAGAUUAAUGGGAUAUUAUGUCAAAGCCAAUUUGCUCCAGUGUUGCUCCUCUCCAGUCGGCUGAUCAGCAGCAUCUCAUCUAAACUGAAGUG